rnacentral:rRNA from 1 species
UAGGGAAUCUUCGGCAAUGGGGGCAACCCUGACCGAGCAACGCCGCGUGAGUGAAGAAGGUUUUCGGAUCGUAAAGCUCUGUUGUAAGUCAAGAACGAGUGUGAGAGUGGAAAGUUCACACUGUGACGGUAUCUUACCAGAAAGGGACGGCUAACUACGUGCCAGCAGCCGCGGUAAUACGUAGGUCCCGAGCGUUGUCCGGAUUUAUUGGGCGUAAAGCGAGCGCAGGCGGUUAGAUAAGUCUGAAGUUAAAGGCUGUGGCUUAACCAUAGUACGCUUUGGAAACUGUUUAACUUGAGUGCAAGAGGGGAGAGUGGAAUUCCAUGUGUAGCGGUGAAAUGCGUAGAUAUAUGGAGGAACACCGGUGGCGAAAGCGGCUCUCUGGCUUGUAACUGACGCUGAGGCUCGAAAGCGUGGGGAGCAAACAGGAUUAGAUACCCUGGUAGUCCGCACAGUAAACGAUGGAUGCCCGCUGUUGGUACCUGGUAUCAGCGGCUAAGCGAAAGCAUUAAGCAUCCCACCUGGGGAGUACGCCGGCAACGGUG